rnacentral:lncRNA from 10 species
UUUUAUCUUCCUACUUCCCGCUGGUAGGAACCUGAGGGUUCAAGGCCUCUUGUAUUGCCUGGCCCUUUCAGUCCAGCCUGGCAGCAGCUUCCGCCCAUGUUAAUUCUGUGACUCUUAAUAGGGUUCAGUUCAUUAGAAGCCACACCUGUGGGGCUUUUCAGACUAGCACCAUCUUGGGCUCCUGCAGAGGAGCAAGAAGUCUUAUUGAGGGAAAGAAAGGUUCUAACAGCUGGGCGCGGUGGCUUACACCUGUAAUCCUAGCACCUUGGGAGGCCGAGGAGGGCAGAUCGCCUGAGGUCAAGACCAGCGUGGCCAACAUGGCGAAACCCCAACUCUACUAAAACUACAACAAUUGGCCAGGUGUGGUGGUUCACGCCUGUAAUCCCAGCUACUCAGGAGACAGGCAGGAGAAUUGCUUGAGCCAAAGGAGGUGGAGGUUGCAGUGAGCUGAAGGCACACCACUGCACUCCAGUGAAAAGAGAGAGAAAGGUUCAACUUUCUAUGGUUAACAGAGGAUUUCAUGCCACACCCUCAGCUUUAGCUUAGAUCACCUUUCCAGCUGUCUUCUGGAUGUCAUUUUUGCUUGGAAGCCACUGAAUUUUAGCCUAAGAGCACUGAGUGCUGCUCAUCGCUAAGGACCUGCUCACAGUUUAGGGGAAGUAGCUCCUUAGUGACAAACCCAGGAGAGCUGCUCUCCGUCAGUCAUGAUGGAGGCCACAGCACCACUGAACUGUCACCAUCUAACAAGGACCUUCACCUCUGCCUUCUCAAGACUGAGGCUUGCAGUCAGGCCCCCAGAACUCCUCCCACAUUUUAGGACUCUUGAAGUCAAUGCUGAGUGCUCCCACUUCGUGGCCUCUGCUUGCUGCCCUCCCCAGAUGUCACCUUUUAUCAGGCACCUCCUACCACCCUGAAAGAGCUGGGUCUCCUCACCAGGGCAUGUGCUACAACCCCAGUGUCUACCACCCUCCACCUGACACUGCUUGAGGUCUCCAUAAACAAGCUAAGUAAACAAGAGCUUCUGCCCUCUUCAAGCUCCUAGAACAAAGUUACCUGAGCCCAUCCCUGGCUUAAGACCAGCCCAGCAUCACUUGGAGGGAUCUCCGGGACAGGUCGCUGUGGCGUGGACUAGUGGUCACGUCUGCAGGCAGCAACCACGGUCCAAGGGUGAAGGCAGUGGGAGCAGGGCACCCUCAGACUGAUGAUUAUCCUGCUGCAGGGUCUCUCCCAAGAGACAGGGAAGGCUGUCAUGCCAGUGCUGAUGAAUAAGCAUCAGACCAAAUGUGACAUGUGACACCUAUUAAAGAAGGCCCCCGGCCACACGCAGUGGCUCAAACCUGUAAUCC